AUUCAGAGCCUUUUGUUAUGUUGAGUUAUGAAUCAUAUGUCUCUAUCUGCUGCUGUCAGUGUUCAGAUGCACAGUCAGGAGAACCGCAUGACGGCUCAUAAUCUGGCCGUGAUAUUUGUGGUCACGCUGUUCCAGGAGCUCGCCAUGAACGCAGCCUUGAUGCAGCUAACCAAAGAGCUGAUCGUACGUCACAAGGAGAUCUUCAUGAAAUGAUUGUGUCAUCUGGCAUUGUGUGCAGAAUCACGUGGAGACAGAUGGAGAAAUCAUCACUGUAUUGUGAAGAGCUCAUCAGCGUCUCUACUUACUGACGCAAUACGAA